ensembl:lincRNA
UUUGUUCUCUGUAGCUUUUGUUCCCUGAAGGCUUUCUGUAGAGCUUUGGAGGGUGAGAAUGAAAAUGGCAGCCUCCCAAUCUUCAGUCCUGAGGAGUCAAGAGUGCUCCCCAAGAAGCCACUCCUCAGUGUGCCCUCAAAGAAAAGGAGUCAACCUCUCCCGUCUCCCUGGUUUCUAGCUGCACUCCAUGCUCACCCGGCCUGUGACUGAGCGUCUCUAUCUCUGAUGCACAGCCCCCUUUGGAGUCUCCAAACCCAGCAGAUUCCUGCAGUGCACUCCCACACAGCUCCUCCUGGAGGAAGAAGGGAUUGCUGGCCAUUCCUGGCAAGUGGUGACCCCGAAGUGAUCACCUUGCAACAGACACCAUAUGGAUCCCGCCAAAAAAGUAAAGUUUGAACACAAUUGUUCACUUCCUUUGGUAUUUCUAGAACUCAACUGCAGGAAGACAACUAUGCUUGAGGAUGCCAGUAAAGCAAGGUGAGAAAGUAACAUAGAAGAAAAUAAGAGUCACAAAUAAGAAUAGUG